GGAAGGGGUGUAUUUAUUAGAUAAAAAACCAAUGCCCUUCGGGGCUCCUUGGUGAUUCAUGAUAACUUCUCAGAUCGCAUGGCUUUACGCCGGCGACGGUUCAUUCAAAUUUCUGCCCUAUCAACUUUCGAUGGUAAGGUAGUGGCUUACCAUGGUUUCAACGGGUAACGGGGAAUUAGGGUUCGAUUCCGGAGAGGGAGCCGGAGGAACGGCUACCACAUCCAAGGAAGGCAGCAGGCGCGCAAAUUACCCAAUUCCGAUACGGAGAGGUAGUGACAAUAAAUACUGAUACAGGGCUCUUUUGGGUCUUGUAAUUGGAAUGAGUACAAUUUAAACCUCUUAACGAGGAACAAUUGGAGGGCAAGUCUGGUGCCAGCAGCCGCGGUAAUUCCAGCUCCAAUAGCGUAUAUUAAAGUUGUUGCAGUUAAAAAGCUCGUAGUUGAACCUUUGGCCUGGCUGGCAGGUCCGCCUCACCGCGUGCACUUGUCCGGCCGGGCCUUUUCUUCUGGAGAACCGCAUGCCCUUCACUGGGUGUGUUGGGGAACCAGGACUUUUAC
rnacentral:rRNA from 1 species